CACGUUAGAGCGCUUUGCUGACGUGGACACAAAUCGUUCUUACGUGGACGAGAUUUGUUGCCGUGUCAGCAAAGCGCGCUAACGAGG
rfam:Gossypium hirsutum cultivar TM-1 chromosome 18, whole genome shotgun sequence